GUAGUACUGGGACUCUAACCAGAUGUCAUGAAUCUGGUCUUGGGACACUGUCAGGUGGGCAGUAUGACUGGGACGGGCGCCUCCCAAAAGGUAACGGAGGCGCUCAAAGAUUCUCUCAGUACAGUCGGAAAUCGUACGUAGAGCUUAAAGGCAAAAGAGAGCUUGAUUGCAAGACAUACAGGUCGAGCAAAGAUGAAAAUCGGACUUAGUGAUCCGGUGGUUCUUCGUGGAACGGCCAUCGCUCAACGGAUAAAAGCUACACUGGGGAAAACAGGCUUAACUCGCCCAAGCGUCCCAAUAGACGGGGAGGAUUGGCAC
rnacentral:rRNA from 1 species